GAUGAAGGUAUUUCGGAUCGUAAAACUCUGUUGUUAGGGAAAAACAAGUACCGUUCAAAUAGGGCGGUACCUUGACGGUACCUAACCAAAAAGCCACGGCUAACUACGUGCCACCACCCGCGGUAAUACUUAGGUGGCAAGCGUUGUCCGGAAUUAUUGGGCGUAAAGCGCGCGCAGGCGGUUUCUUAAUUCUGAUGUGAAAGCCCCCGGCUCAACCGGGGAGGGUCAUUGGAAACUGGGGAACUUGAGUGCAGAAAAGGAAAGUGGAAUUCCACGUGUAGCGGUGAAAUGCUUAGAGAUGUGAAGGAACACCAGUGCCAAAGGCAACUCUCUGGUCUGUAACUGACGCUAAGGCGCG
rnacentral:rRNA from 1 species